AGCUGCACAGAUGUGAGAGACUUCAUGGAUAGAACAGCAGGAUUCAACAAAAAGAGCCUCUGCUGUUACACCAUACCAUGCGGCGCUGACCCGAGACGUCUUGGAAGUCCGGAUGUGUAAUUCAUGAUGCCGCCUACCUACGACUGCGUGGCUCUGUGAGGAGUUUCUCUGCCGGGGGCUGCAGCAGGAAAUGCAUCCCGUUCUGAAGGAUGAUGAUUAUUGGCUGUGAAGUGAUCGGGAGUCGAGCAUGAGUGAUUUACAAAAAUGACAGAAGUUGCCUGAAGCACUGCAGACGUGCAUCCAGGUCAGAAACAUCGCUCAAAGACAGCGGGAAUAUCGGGAAUAUCACGGUGACAUCAUUCCUGUCAGCCACAGCAGCUGUCAUGAUUAUGGUCUUUGGUGGGACAGAGACCUACUUCUUUCAAGAGAGAGAGAAAGAAAAUCAAUUUGACUCAGCAGAGAGCUGCUGCAGAUUUACACGGAUCCACAACUGAACAGUGCGGCCCUGUGAAGAGUUUCUGCUGACUGGUUUUAGUGGCAGUGAGGAGGCUCCUGGCCUUUCUUCAGCAGCUGAAGACUCCCUCCUGUUCACCACAGCUGUCAUCCUGAAAGCACCGGAGGACCAGCGGAGGCAGAGGAACCCAAAGCCACUGGAUCUGUCUCACUGCUAGGCUCAGAGGUUAAUGGGAGGUCCACUUGUAGUAAAUAGAAUACAUUAUUUUCUUCAUUUUGAACAUGUUCCUUACAUCUUUAUUCAACAAAGUUCUAAUAUUAAAAGUGGGGCAUGAUAAUAAGAAAAUAAUUACUGCCUAAACAUUAAUAAAUGGUGGAUUUAAACUAAAUCAGCUGAAACUAGUCAGAAAUUGUUUCUACUAGCCUGAUUGAGUAAAACUAGACCCUAUUUUGAAAACUUUGCUUGCUA